UACGUAGGUGGCAAGCGUUGUCCGGAAUUAUUGGGCGUAAAGCGCGCGCAGGCGGCCGCUUAAGUCUGAUGUGAAAGCCCACGGCGCAACCGUGGAGGGUCAUUGGAAACUGGGAGACUUGAGUACAGAAGAGGAGAGUGGAAUUCCACGUGUAGCGGCGAAAUGCGUAGGUAUGUGGAGGAACACCAGUGGCGAAGGCGACUCUCUGGUCUGUAACUGACGCUGAGGAGCGAAAGCGUGGGGAGCGAACAGG
rnacentral:misc_RNA from 1 species